rnacentral:lncRNA from 13 species
AGGAAUGGGAAAACAUUUCAGUCUCUCGAUGUGCAAAACUGAUAGAGACAUACCCCAAGCGACUUACAGCUGUAAUCGCAGCAAAAGGUGGCGCUACAAAAUAUUAACUUAAGGGGGCUGAAUAAUUUUGCACGCCCAAUUUUUCAGUUUUUGAUUUGUUAAAAACGUUUGAAAUAUCCAAUAAAUGUCGUUCCACUUCAUGAUUGUGUCCCACUUGUUGUUGAUUCUUCACAAAAAAAUACAGUUUUAUAUCUUUAUGUUUGAAGCCUGAAAUGUGGCAAAAGGUCGCAAAGUUCAAGGGGGCCGAAUACUUUCGAGUUGAGUGUACACGCUGACUACUUCCUAGUGACCUCUUGCCAGGUCCCCCCUGCCAAUGAGGUUUCUAACCUCAAUGGUAUUUUCCUGGUUAAAUAUAAUAAGAUAAGAACUACUAGCUGAUUUCCAUACAGAAGCAUUGAGAAGUCACAGUGGUGGGUGAUGUCAGCCAUUUCCAGUGCCCUGCCCUGCUUUCCCCUCUCAUCUCUAAUAGUCUUCCUGUACAUUGAUUUCUUCGCUCUCUCUCUCCCUUCUGGUCAGUUAUAAAGGCUUUCAGACAUUCAGAUCAACAAACACUACCCUGUGGAUCUGGGGAAGAGGUUUCUCUAACCACGACAUGCAUCUUCACAUGAAUUCUGAAGGUUUGACUCAAUACUUGGGAGACAGGAGGAAAUAUCUCUAGGGACAGCAAGGCAAGCCCCUAGCCCAGGCAGGAAGCAUCAUCAGUACUAAUUUAAUACCAGCCAAGGCAGAUGCUGUGAGGGCUAGCAUGAAUAGGAGUCAGAAGGGUCUGUUGAGGAGGUGGAGAGACCAUAAGGGGAGGGGGGGCUGUUUUCUGGAGGUUAUCUGCAGUGCAUUCAGCUGGCCACACUGGGCUUGCGGUCCACAAACAUCCACACCCAAAGCUUUUUAUUCAUUUUUUUUCUCUCUUUUGGAAUGGUCUCUAAGAUCACUGAGAUACUGUUACCACCGCAGGGAUAACAUCAAACCUGCAAGUUCCUCAGCAUCUCAAAGGUGAG